GAUCCUGGCUCAGAACGAACGCUGGCGGCGCGUUUAAGCAUGCAAGUCGAGCGGCAAGGGCCUUCGGGCCCUAGAGCGGCGGACGGGUGAGUAACACGUGGACAAUCUGCCCCCCGGCCCGGGAUAGCCCAGGGAAACCUGGAUUAAUACCGGAUGAGACGGGACCCGCGAUGGCGGGACCCGGGAAAGGCGCUGCGGCGCCGCCGGGGGAUGAGUCUGCGUCCCAUUAGCUAGACGGCGGGGUAACGGCCCACCGUGGCGACGAUGGGUAGCCGGCCUGAGAGGGUGGACGGCCACAUUGGAACUGAGACACGGUCCAGACUCCUACGGGAGGCAGCAGCUAAGAAUCUUCCGCAAUGGGCGAAAGCCUGACGGAGCCGACGCCGCGUGAACGAAGAAGGCCGUGAGGUUGUAAAGUCCUUUUCGGGAGGGGGAACAACCGUGGCAGGGAAUGGCCGCGGGAUGACGUGAAUCCCGGAAUAAGCCCCGGCUAACUACGUGCCAGCCGCAGC
rnacentral:rRNA from 1 species